GUUGAGUGAUUUGACUAAGUCAAAACAUGUUUGGAGGGCCAAGAUGGGAUCUUGGUGGUGCCAAUUCUAGAAGGCUAAAAAUUUCUUCGUAACUUUUCACGUAUCAAUUCUCUCCUGGAGUUUUAAAUUAAAUCCAAGACCUUAAUCAGAUUAUGGCAUAGGAUUUGGAUGGCUAGGAUCAAGUUUGACUUGGUCAAACAAUCACAAGA
rnacentral:lncRNA from 1 species